rnacentral:rRNA from 1 species
UGACGUGGGGGGCAAGCGUUGUUCGGAAUUACUGGGCGUAAAGCGCACGUAGGCGGAUCGAUCAGUCAGGGGUGAAAUCCCAGGCUCAACCCUGGAACUGCCUUUGAUACUGUCGAUCUGGAGUAUGGAAGAGGUGAGUGGAAUUCCGAGUGUAGAGGUGAAAUUCGUAGAUAUUCGGAGGAACACCAGUGGCGAAGGCAGCUCGCUGGGACGGUACUGACGCUGAGGCGCGAAAGCGUGGGGAGCCGAACGAGG